rnacentral:rRNA from 1 species
AAAUUGAAGAGUUUGAUCAUGGCUCAGAUUGAACGCUGGCGGCAGGCCUAACACAUGCAAGUCGAACGGUAACAGGAAACAGCUUGCUGUUUCGCUGACGAGUGGCGGACGGGUGAGUAAUGUCUGGGAAACUGCCUGAUGGAGGGGGAUAACUACUGGAAACGGUAGCUAAUACCGCAUAACGUCGCAAGACCAAAGAGGGGGACCUUCAGGCCUCUUGCCAUCGGAUGUGCCCAGAUGGGAUUAGCUUGUUGGUGGGGUAACGGCUCACCUAGGCGACGAUCCCUAGCUGGUCUGAGAGGAUGACCAGCCACACUGGAACUGAGACACGGUCCAGACUCCUACGGGAGGCAGCAGUGGGGAAUAUUGCACAAUGGGCGCAAGCCUGAUGCAGCCAUGCCGCGUGUAUGAAGAAGGCCUUCGGGUUGUAAAGUACUUUCAGCGGGGAGGAAGGGAGUAAAGUUAAUACCUUUGCUCAUUGACGUUACCCGCAGAAGAAGCACCGGCUAACUCCGUGCCAGCAGCCGCGGUAAUACGGAGGGUGCAAGCGUUAAUCGGAAUUACUGGGCGUAAAGCGCACGCAGGCGGUUUGUUAAGUCAGAUGUGAAAUCCCCGGGCUCAACCUGGGAACUGCAUCUGAUACUGGCAAGCUUGAGUCUCGUAGAGGGGGGUAGAAUUCCAGGUGUAGCGGUGAAAUGCGUAGAGAUCUGGAGGAAUACCGGUGGCGAAGGCGGCCCCCUGGACGAAGACUGACGCUCAGGUGCGAAAGCGUGGGGAGCAAACAGGAUUAGAUACCCUGGUAGUCCACGCCGUAAACGAUGUCGACUUGGAGGUUGUGCCCUUGAGGCGUGGCUUCCGGAGCUAACGCGUUAAGUCGACCGCCUGGGGAGUACGGCCGCAAGGUUAAAACUCAAAUGAAUUGACGGGGGCCCGCACAAGCGGUGGAGCAUGUGGUUUAAUUCGAUGCAACGCGAAGAACCUUACCUGGUCUUGACAUCCACGGAAGUUUUCAGAGAUGAGAAUGUGCCUUCGGGAACCGUGAGACAGGUGCUGCAUGGCUGUCGUCAGCUCGUGUUGUGAAAUGUUGGGUUAAGUCCCGCAACGAGCGCAACCCUUAUCCUUUGUUGCCAGCGGUCCGGCCGGGAACUCAAAGGAGACUGCCAGUGAUAAACUGGAGGAAGGUGGGGAUGACGUCAAGUCAUCAUGGCCCUUACGACCAGGGCUACACACGUGCUACAAUGGCGCAUACAAAGAGAAGCGACCUCGCGAGAGCAAGCGGACCUCAUAAAGUGCGUCGUAGUCCGGAUUGGAGUCUGCAACUCGACUCCAUGAAGUCGGAAUCGCUAGUAAUCGUGGAUCAGAAUGCCACGGUGAAUACGUUCCCGGGCCUUGUACACACCGCCCGUCACACCAUGGGAGUGGGUUGCAAAAGAAGUAGGUAGCUUAACCUUCGGGAGGGCGCUUACCACUUUGUGAUUCAUGACUGGGGUGAAGUCGUAACAAGGUAACCGUAGGGGAACCUGCGGUUGGAUCACCUCCUUA